AUUGAACGCUGGCGGCAGGCCUAACACAUGCAAGUCGAGCGGAUGAAGGGAGCUUGCUCCUGGAUUCAGCGGCGGACGGGUGAGUAAUGCCUAGGAAUCUGCCUGGUAGUGGGGGAUAACGUCCGGAAACGGGCGCUAAUACCGCAUACGUCCUGAGGGAGAAAGUGGGGGAUCUUCGGACCUCACGCUAUCAGAUGAGCCUAGGUCGGAUUAGCUAGUUGGUGGGGUAAAGGCCUACCAAGGCGACGAUCCGUAACUGGUCUGAGAGGAUGAUCAGGCACACUGUAACUGAGACACGGUCCAGACUCCUACGGGAGGCAGCAGUGGGGAAUAUUGGACGAUGGGCGAAAGCCUGAUCCAGCCAUGCCGCGUGUGUGAAGAAGGUCUUCUGAUUGGAGAGCACUUUAAGUUGGGAGGAAGGGCAGUAAGUUAAUACCUUGCUGUUUUGACGUUACCAACAGAAUAAGCACCGGCUAACUUCGUG
rnacentral:rRNA from 1 species